AUGAUAAAUGCGACAGCUACAAUACUGAUUGUCAUAGCACUCCAGUCUGGCAACAUAGCAAGACCCUGUCUCAAAAAAGGCACUCCACAGAAGGAUGUUAUUAUCAAGUCAGAUGCACCAGACACCCUAUUAUUGGAGAAACAUGCAGAUUAUAUCGCAUCCUAUGGCUCAAAGAAAGAUGAUUAUGAAUACUGUAUGUCUGAGUAUUUAAGAAUGAGUGGCAUCUAUUGGGGUCUGACAGUAGUGGAUCUCAUAGGACAACUUCAUCGCAUGAAUAGAGAAGAGAUUCUGGCAUUUAUUAAGUCUUGCCAACAUGAAUGUGGUGGAAUAAGUGCUAGUAUUGGACAUGAUCCUCAUCUUUUAUACACUCUUAGUGCUGUCCAGAUUCUUACACUGUAUGACAGUAUUAAUGUUAUCGACGUAAAUAAAGUUGUGGAAUAUGUUAAAGGUCUACAGAAAGAAGAUGGUUCUUUUGCUAGAGAUAUUUGGGGAGAAAUUGAUACAAGAUUCUCUUUUUGUGCGGUGGCAACUUUGGCUUUGUUGGGGAAGCUUGAUGCUAUUAAUGUGGAAAAGGCAAUUUAAUUUGUUUUAUCCUGUAUGAACUUUGACGGUGGAUUUGGUUGCAGACCAGGUUCUGAAUCCCAUGCUGGGCAGUUACCAGAUGUAUGCUAUUCAUGGUGGGUCCUGGCUUCCCUAAAGAUAAUUGGAAGACUUCAUUGGAUUGAUAGAGAAAAACUGCGUAAUUUCAUUUUAGCAUGUCAAGAUGAAGAAACGGGGGGAUUUGCAGACAGGCCAGGAGAUAUGGUGGAUCCUUUUCAUACCUUAUUUGGAAUUGCUGGAUUGUCACUUUUGGGAGAAGAACAGAUUAAACCUGUUAAUCCUGUCUUUUGCAUGCCUGAAGAAGUGCUUCAGAGAGUGAAUGUUCAGCCUGAGCUAGUGAGCUAGAUUCAUUAAAGUGAAAGCUGCAUAGUAUAGUUUUGCCAUUUUAACAUUUCUGUAUUUGAAGUGCUUAUUAAAUCUAAAAAUGACUACUGUUAUUAUUUUGUACAUUGUGUUAAAUUAAUUUUAAUAAAUUAUAUAAUUAUACA